UACACUGUCAACCGAUUGUCACUGCGAGCCACUCGCUUAUCCGAAAAUUCGUGAAAAACUUGAACACCAAAAAAAAAUGGUACAUUUUUUAGGGAUUUUUUCCAAAAAAAUUUAUAAAAUUCCGAAUUCCCUUAAAGAGGACGUCACAACGUGAGAUCGUAUUAAUGAGAUGAGUGAUACGGCUAAAUGAAAUUCAAUAGCCGUGAAGAGGAUAGGGGGGAGGAUAACAUAUCACAUAUGAUACGAUAUCAUUUUUCAUCUAUGGGAGACUUCAUGAAGUUGGCAACUAUGACGAACUGUGUUAUACCUGGUGAGAUCGAAAUCUAGUGAUCUCGAGAUCUGGUCAACCGAAAACUAAUUACAAUCAGAAUCCGGAAAAGAUAGUUAAGAUUUUCUUUGUUAAAAUUUCAAACUACGAUGGCCGCUAUAAUUAAGUUAUCAGUGAAAGUACCACAUAAAGGAACGAGUGGAAUGCAUUUCAUUGAACUUCGCGUUCGAAUUGCCGUCAUGUUCAAUGAAUUAACCUAAAAGGAGCUUAGCCGAUUCGACUAUAGCGGGUCGAUCGGACAGGUGGGACGAAUGAUUUAGACGAAAUCCCGGAGUCUCUUGUAUAGGAUAUUUCGGAGGUAUCGUAUGCGAAAGAUUUGACAAGAAACAAGGAGAAUUCUUCCCAAGUCUUUAUACGGGUCUGACAUUCAAAUUUAUCGGCCUCGUAAAUAUAUAUAUAUAUGUUCUCCUUAUGCCAAUUUGUAUUCGAACCGAAACUUUUGUCUGGAGAAAUGGCGACACGUGUGGAAACUUCAUGAGCACUCCAUCACGGUAUAUAACCAUAUACUGUAGCUAUGUUUAUACAAAUAUAUAGAUACAUAAAUGUAUACGAUUUUGCACCGUGCUCCAGAAACCUCUGAAGCAUCUCUUAUGGUCUUUUAAAGUGGCAGAUAUUCGAAAGUACAGAUAAAAAUUUUUCUUUACAAAUUUUAAAGGAAUUUCAAAUUCGA